CCGCCACGAGUGAAGACUAGCUCGGCUAAAUGCUCUCGUGUGCGGCAGGCUUAAAUGCAAAAUAUGCCGAUAUGCAUGAACACUUGAAAUUUUUCAAAUUUGUCCGCGGCUGCAACACUUCUGUGCCGAUACUCAAUAUAAAUCUGAUUAAAUAUGUCAAAACAUUAUUUUUACGUUAUAACAGGUAGCGGCAACUAUAAACAAGCUCCAGGAUCCUUCAUAUUCUCUCUUCGCAACAAAGAAAAUCUCCCGCCUUUUAAAGCCCCACUGAAAGAUCAAAAUACUCCGUACGCAAUUAACGCAGUGAUUAAUUAUGGACCAAUAUUUGGAGCAGGUUAUGAUCUAUACAUAUCUAAUGAUGCGGGUUCGAAUACCGUUUCAGGCACAACUUUUAAUCACAACUACCAGGCUCCAUCUGGUGUCAGCGACACAAGCACCAUCCUGGCUGGAACAAAUAAAUUUCAACCGUCAG